CUUUUAUCAAUUUGUGGCUUUGGUCCAGCUGUUUGUCACUUUGCCUGAGAUUGAGUGACAAGUGUACUCGCCCUAUUGUUUAUUUGGUUCCCAUGACUUUGCGAGUGAUGACGUCCUGUCACUGUUCCA